UACGGAAGGCAGCAGGUGGGAAUAUUGCACAAUGGGCGCAAGCCUGAUGCAGCCAUGCCGCGUGUAUGAAAAAGGCCUUCGGGUUGUAAAGUACUUUCAGUCGUGAGGAAGGUGUUAAGGUUAAUAACCUUAGCAAUUGACGUUAGCGACAGAAGAAGCACCGGCUAACUCCGUGCCAGCAGCCGCGGUAAUACGGAGGGUGCGAGCGUUAAUCGGAAUUACUGGGCGUAAAGGGCACGCAGGCGGUUAAUUAAGUUGGAUGUGAAAUCCCCGGGCUUAACCUGGGAAUGGCAUUCAAGACUGGUUAGCUAGAGUCUUGUAGAGGGGGUAGAAUUCCAUGUGUAGCGGUGAAAUGCGUAGAGAUGUGGAGGAAUACCGGUGGCGAAGGCGGCCCCUGGACAAAGACUGACGCUCAUGUGCGAAAGCGUGGGGAGCAAACAGGGAUUAGAUACC
rnacentral:rRNA from 1 species